rnacentral:rRNA from 1 species
AUGGCGACCGGCGCACGGGUGAGUAACACGUAUCCACCCUUCCGAUGACUUGGGGAUAGCCUUUCGAAAGAAAGAUUACUACCCGAUGGCAUAGUUCUUCCGCAUGGGAUAAUUAUUAAAGAAUUUCGGUCGUCGAUGGGGAUGCGUUCCAUUAGGUUGUUGGCGGGGUAACGGCCCACCAAACCUUCGAUGGAUAGGGGUUCUGAGAGGAAGGUCCCCCACAUUGGAACUGAGACACGGUCCAAACUCCUACGGGAGGCAGCAGUGAGGAAUAUUGGUCAAUGGACGAGAGCCUGAACCAGCCAAGUAGCGUGAAGGAUGACUGCCCUAUGGGUUGUAAACUUCUUUUAUACAGGAAUAAAGUCGAGGCAUGGAUACCCUUUUUGCAUGUACUUUAUGAAUAAGGAUCGGCUAACUCCGUGCCAGCAGCCGCGGUAAUACGGAGGAUCCGAGCGUUAUCCGGAUUUAUUGGGUUUAAAGGGAGCGUAGAUGGGACGCUAAGUCCAUUGGGAAAAGUUUCGGGCCCACCCGAAAAAUUGCAGUUGAUACUGGAUAGCCUUGAGUGCAGUUGAGGCAGGGCGGAAUUCGUGGUGUAGCGGUGAAAUGCUUAGAUAUCACGAAGAACUCCGAUUG